rnacentral:lncRNA from 10 species
GUUCUGCCAGGAAGCCCUUCCCACCUGGCUGUGUCACUGGUCUGGGAACACAUUUUGAGAAUCACUGCUCUGGAGGCAGAGAAGUCCGGAGUUGAUGGGCCACUUCUGACUUUUGGAUGGGACAAACAUUCAAACCGUAGCAAUGUGUAAGUGAGUACACAGCAAGAAGGCAACCAUGAGCAAGCCAAGAAGAGAGCCCUCAAGGGGGAACCAAAAGGCUGGCUGGUACCUUGAUCUUGGGGUUUCCAGCCUCCAGAAUGGUGAGAAAUAAAUUCCUGUUAUUUAAAC